rnacentral:lncRNA from 1 species
AACGAGGUGGUCAGAGCUGAGAUGGCUUGUGGCGACACAAUUUAAUAUUUACGUCAAUAGAAAUUAUUUUUUGGUUUUCUUUAAGCGACUCUAAGAUAGAAGUCAGCUUUGUAAAUCCUAAAGUGAAAAAGAAUUCCGUAAGGGGUAAGAUUGACACAUGUUCUUUCAAAGCGGAUAGGACGUAAGAGUACAAUUUAAGCACGGCCCCAAUUAUUAAAAUGCUAAAACCCCAACUAAGCGAGGGUGGAUCUGCAUUGCCUUCUGCUACUCAAGGGCUAAAAUUUCCAAAAAUCAUGACGUCUAUUGAUGGUCGGAAUCAUUCUCCAAAUAAUUUCUCUAAUUCGCCUCAAUUUUGUGUAGGUUGGCAUCGAUCUGCCAAUAAAAACCAUGCGAUGGCCUCUCCAUUGAAACUUAUCUCCACUGCCUCCAAUUUCUCUGGUUUGGAGGUGAAAUUCAGAACAAAAUCUCUCUUCCAUGGCAGCCCACUCAUCAGGAUUUUCUCAACCGAACCGAGGAAUUUCCUGCAUCUUCUCCUUUUGUGCCCGAUCAUAUUCACAAGUGUCUUGUUCAUCAUUCUUCUGUAGCAUACUCUCGCAUUUUCUAUGGCCAAUAAUCUAGGUUCAUCUUAUCCGCUACCAAGCCUAAACUUUCCUCCAUUUUUUUUUUUUUUUUUUUUUUGGGGUCAUUGGCCCUAAAAUCGAUGUUCUAAUACCAAAUGAUAGGUACCAACACAGAUUAAAAAGCAAAAGAACAAACUGUAAAAUUGUAUUCCUAAAUGAAGAUGAAUCACAAUGUUUGACGACCAUUCGAGAGUCCUCUCUCUCUCCCAAUUUCAAAACCUAAUUUCAGCCAAACUAAAAUGAAUUACCCUCCACCUAUUUAUAGAUAAAAGCCUAUACAAUUUAUUGUAUUAGAUACCCUUAACAUCCCCAUCCCCUAGAAAAUGAACUUGUGGAUACCUAUAACUCUCAUUCAAGAAUGGCGCAGAGGCUACAACAUACAAUGCAAAAAAAAAUUAUCUACAUUUUCGAACUUGCAUAAAUAUCAAUAUUAUAGAAAAUAAUACCUCCACAAAAGAGAAAUAAAGUGAGUUGAUUGUUAAAGAUAUGGAAUAUGGAAAUAUUGUCUAGAAUAAUCU